UGGAAGCCGUAAUGUUAGUUUUGAUC
rnacentral:piRNA from 1 species